rnacentral:rRNA from 1 species
UACGUAGGGGGCAAGCGUUACUCGGAUUCAUUGGGCGUAAAGCGAAUGUAGGCGGUUGGGUAAGUCAGAGGUGAAAUCCCCCAGCUCAACUGAGGAAUUGCCUUUGAUACUGCCGAACUUGAGGACAGGAGAGGAAAGUGGAAUUCCAGGUGUAGCGGUGGAAUGCGUAGAUAUCUGGAGGAACACCAGAGGCGAAGGCGGCUUUCUGGACUGGUCCUGACGCUGAGAUUCGAAAGCCAGGGGAGCAAACAGG